UGGGGAAUUUUGCGCAAUGGGGGAAACCCUGACGCAGCGACGCCGCGUGGAGGACGAAGGCCUUCGGGUUGUAAACUCCUUUUGCUUGGGAAAAUGAUGAUGGUACCAAGCGAAUAAGCCACGGCUAACUCUGUGCCAGCAGCCGCGGUAAGACAGAGGUGGCAAGCGUUGUUCGGAAUCACUGGGCUUAAAGGGCGCGUAGGCGGCAGUGCAAGUCUAAUGUGGAAGCUUGGGGCUUAACCCCGAAACUGCAUUGGAAACUGCAUUGCUUGAGUCAGUAAGGGGAGAACGGAAUUCCCGGUGUAGCAGUGAAAUGCGUAGAUAUCGGGAGGAAGGCCGGUGGCGAAGGCGGUUCUCUGGUGCUUGACUGACGCUGAGGCGCGAAAGCGUGGGUAGCAAACAGG
rnacentral:rRNA from 1 species